CAGCAGCCGCGGUAAUACGUAGGGUGCGAGCGUUGUCCGGAAUUACUGGGCGUAAAGAGCUCGUAGGCGGUUUGUCGCGUCGUUUGUGAAAACCCGCRGCUCAACUKCGGGCUUGCAGGCGAUACGGGCAGACUUGAGURCUGCAGGGGAGACUGGAAUUCCUGGUGUAGCGGUGAAAUGCGCAGAUAUCAGGAGGAACACCGGUGGCGAAGGCGGGUCUCUGGGCAGUAACUGACGCUGAGGAACGAAAGCGUGGGUAGCAAACAGGAUUAGAUACCCUGGUAGUCCACGCCGUAAACGGUGGGCGCUAGGUGUGGGUUCCUUCCACGGGAUCUGUGCCGUAKCUAACGCAUUAAGCGCCCCGCCUGGGGAGUACGGCCCCAAGGCUAAAACUCAAAGGAAUUGAC
rnacentral:rRNA from 1 species